GACGAACGCUGGCGGCGUGCUUAACACAUGCAAGUCGAACGGAAAGGCCCUGCUUUUGUGGGGUGCUCGAGUGGCGAACGGGUGAGUAACACGUGAGUAACCUGCCCUUGACUUUGGGAUAACUUCAGGAAACUGGGGCUAAUACCGGAUAGGAGCUCCUGCUGCAUGGUGGGGGUUGGAAAGUUUCGGCGGUUGGGGAUGGACUCGCGGCUUAUCAGCUUGUUGGUGGGGUAGUGGCUUACCAAGGCUUUGACGGGUAGCCGGCCUUAGAGGGGGGCCUGCGACAUGGGGACUGAGGGAGGGCCCAGACUCCUACGGGAGGCAGCAGUGGGGAGUAUUGCACAGUGGGCGGGAGCCAGAGGCAGCGACGCCGCGUGCGGGAUGACGGCCUUCGGGUUGUAAACCGCUUUCGCCUGUGACGAAGCGUGAGUGACGGUAAUGGGUAAAGAAGCACCGGCUAACUACGUG
rnacentral:rRNA from 1 species